GGCGAAUGGCCAAGGAGAGACUAACCCGAUCAGCUGUGUCGCUGGUUGGUGAAUAAUGUGACCAAACUUCUGACAUGCUUCACAUUUCCGAACAAAGGCCUGGCAAUCUUUCUCCAUGGUUGUCCAAUAAAAUCCAGCUCUUAAAGCACGCGCUCUGAGAGACCGACCACCUCCAUGCCUUCCACAUAUCCCCUCAUGCAACUCUCUCAUUAUAUACUCCGAUUCCUCCAACGACACACACUUCAGCAUUGGCGUCACGUACCCCCUUCAAUACAAUUCCUCCCCGACCAGUACAUACCGAGCGAUCUGUUUAGCUUCAUCAGGAUGAAGAGUAUUACCGCUCUCUUGUUUCUUUAUUAACAACAGGAUGCCCCUUCUCCAGUCAUCCCGUUCCGCCAUGUGAACGAUAUGCAAACACUCAAUAGCUGGCUUGAACAGCACCUGCCUGAUGAUAGAAGUUAGUUGCCCCUUCUCCCCACUGGUCGCUAACUUCGACAACCUGUCUGCUUUAACGUUUCCUUCUCGUGCACUACAAAAAAAAACUUAUUUAGAGGGGGUUAUUUAGAGGAGGUUAUGAAAAACCCCCUCAAAUUAAUAUAUUUCAUAAUGUUUAAUUUAAAUCAUGAAGGUGUUAAUGAUAACGGGAGUUUUAAUGAUUUUUAAAGGAGGUUUAUAACCCCCUCUAUUUCAAANGAGUUUUAAUGCUUCGAGAAUGUCCUAAUUUUUUACGUUUNUGUCUCAUUGAUCCCGACACUCAUCUCCUUCUCAAAAUCUCAUUGAUCCCGACACUCAUCUCCUUCUCAAAAUCACACUUGAACCCUAAAAUCCCUUUCAUUCCUUUCUCGCUUUCUUCCUCGCAGACUACACCCUUAUUUCUUUCUCGUUUUCUUCCUGAACCCUAAACUCAUCGUCUCUUCCUCGCACUGACGGAGCUGCGGCGGAACCAUUGGUAGACGGAGCUGCGGCGGUGGUUGCGUGGNGGUGGGAAAUUCCUUGAUUAUUCCAAUAUCGCCUAGGGAUAGGGGUAGGACGGUCAAUUGUAAUUGCUUCAGAACGCAUUGCAUUAUUAGUUACUAGGGGAGGCUAGGGAUAGCAAGCCGGUAAUUAGUAAUAGGCUCUUUUCACCAAGGAAUUGGGUUAAGGGUAAUUUAGAAAGUAUGCAUGUCAAUUAGAUAAAUAAGUGAAGUAAAAUAGAAGAGUAGAUAUAUGAGAGUGGAUAAGAUGAAAUUGUAAACCCCAACAACACCAUUCAUCCAUAGUUCUCAAAAACCAAUUAAAUCAAUUGCAUUGCAUGUUUAUUUUUGUUCUUUGCAUACAACCACCAAUAUUAUUCUCUUCUCAAGUCUUACGUGAUUAGGUUACAUGAAAGUUUAG
rnacentral:lncRNA from 1 species